AUUGAACGCUGGCGGCAGGCCUAACACAUGCAAGUCGAACGGUAACAGGAAGAAUCUUGCUUCUUUGCUGACGAGUGGCGGACGGGUGAGUAAUGUCUGGGCAACUGCCUGAUGGAGGGGGAUAACUACUGGAAACGGUUGCUAAUACCGCAUAACGUCGCAAGACCAAAGAGGGGGACCUUCGGGCCUCUUGCCAUCGGAUGUGCCCAGAUGGUAAUAGCUAGUAGGUGGGGUAACGGCUCACCUAGGCGACGAGCCCUAGCUGGUCUGAGAGGAUGACCAGCCACACUGGAACUGAGACACGGUCCAGAGUCCUACGGGAGGCAGCAGUGGGGAAUAUUGCACAAUGGGCGCAAGCCUGAUGCAGCCAUGCCGCGUGUAUGAAGAAGGCCUUCGGGUUGUAAAGUACUUUCAGCGGGGAGGAAGGGAGUAAAGUUAAUACCUUUGCUCAUUGACGUUACCCGCAGAAGAAGCACCGGCUAACUCCGUG
rnacentral:rRNA from 1 species